CGUCAGAGCUUUAAGAGAACCUUUCCUUAGUACGAGAGGACCGAGAAGGACACACCUAGUAUAUCAGUUAUUGUGCCCAUGGUAAAUGUUAGAUAGCUAAGUGUGGAGCGAAUAACUGUUGAGAGCAUCUAAAUAUGAAGCCUAUCCCAAAAUGAGUGCUCUCUUAUCAUGCUUAGUUUAUUAAUUCAUAUUUUAUUUAUCGUGAUUAAUUGAAAAAUUAUUAUCUAAACCACAAAAAAGAAUAA
rfam:Lupinus angustifolius cultivar Tanjil chromosome LG09, whole genome shotgun sequence.